rnacentral:rRNA from 1 species
AAAUUGAAGAGUUUGAUCAUGGCUCAGAUUGAACGCUGGCGGCAGGCCUAACACAUGCAAGUCGAACGGUAACAGGAAGCAGCUUGCUGCUUUGCUGACGAGUGGCGGACGGGUGAGUAAUGUCUGGGAAACUGCCUGAUGGAGGGGGAUAACUACUGGAAACGGUGGCUAAUACCGCAUAACGUCGCAAGACCAAAGAGGGGGACCUUCGGGCCUCUUGCCAUCAGAUGUGCCCAGAUGGGAUUAGCUUGUUGGUGAGGUAACGGCUCACCAAGGCGACGAUCCCUAGCUGGUCUGAGAGGAUGACCAGCCACACUGGAACUGAGACACGGUCCAGACUCCUACGGGAGGCAGCAGUGGGGAAUAUUGCACAAUGGGCGCAAGCCUGAUGCAGCCAUGCCGCGUGUAUGAAGAAGGCCUUCGGGUUGUAAAGUACUUUCAGCGGGGAGGAAGGUGUUGUGGUUAAUAACCGCAGCAAUUGACGUUACCCGCAGAAGAAGCACCGGCUAACUCCGUGCCAGCAGCCGCGGUAAUACGGAGGGUGCAAGCGUUAAUCGGAAUUACUGGGCGUAAAGCGCACGCAGGCGGUCUGUCAAGUCGGAUGUGAAAUCCCCGGGCUCAACCUGGGAACUGCAUUCGAAACUGGCAGGCUUGAGUCUUGUAGAGGGGGGUAGAAUUCCAGGUGUAGCGGUGAAAUGCGUAGAGAUCUGGAGGAAUACCGGUGGCGAAGGCGGCCCCCUGGACAAAGACUGACGCUCAGGUGCGAAAGCGUGGGGAGCAAACAGGAUUAGAUACCCUGGUAGUCCACGCCGUAAACGAUGUCUACUUGGAGGUUGUGCCCUUGAGGCGUGGCUUCCGGAGCUAACGCGUUAAGUAGACCGCCUGGGGAGUACGGCCGCAAGGUUAAAACUCAAAUGAAUUGACGGGGGCCCGCACAAGCGGUGGAGCAUGUGGUUUAAUUCGAUGCAACGCGAAGAACCUUACCUGGUCUUGACAUCCACGGAAGUUUUCAGAGAUGAGAAUGUGCCUUCGGGAACCGUGAGACAGGUGCUGCAUGGCUGUCGUCAGCUCGUGUUGUGAAAUGUUGGGUUAAGUCCCGCAACGAGCGCAACCCUUAUCCUUUGUUGCCAGCGGUCCGGCCGGGAACUCAAAGGAGACUGCCAGUGAUAAACUGGAGGAAGGUGGGGAUGACGUCAAGUCAUCAUGGCCCUUACGACCAGGGCUACACACGUGCUACAAUGGCGCAUACAAAGAGAAGCGACCUCGCGAGAGCAAGCGGACCUCAUAAAGUGCGUCGUAGUCCGGAUUGGAGUCUGCAACUCGACUCCAUGAAGUCGGAAUCGCUAGUAAUCGUGGAUCAGAAUGCCACGGUGAAUACGUUCCCGGGCCUUGUACACACCGCCCGUCACACCAUGGGAGUGGGUUGCAAAAGAAGUAGGUAGCUUAACCUUCGGGAGGGCGCUUACCACUUUGUGAUUCAUGACUGGGGUGAAGUCGUAACAAGGUAACCGUAGGGGAACCUGCGGUUGGAUCACCUCCUUACC